rnacentral:rRNA from 1 species
GACGUAGGGCGCGAGCGUUGUCCGGAUUUAUUGGGCGUAAAGAGCUCGUAGGCGGCUUGUCGCGUCGUCCGUGAAAACCUGCGGCUCAACUGCAGGCUGGCGGUCGAUACGGGCAGGCUGGAGUUCGGUAGGGGAGACUGGAAUUCCUGGUGUAGCGGUGAAAUGCGCAGAUAUCAGGAGGAACACCGGUGGCGAAGGCGGGUCUCUGGGCCGAUACUGACGCUGAGGUGCGAAAGCGUGGGGAGCGAACAGG